UGCAAGGGAGGCUGGGAAAUGUAGAGGGAGGUUGCAGAGUAUUGGGGAAGCGCUGAGGUGGCGAGGUUAGAUGGGAGAGAUCAUGGAACUUUUGACGUAGAAGAGAGGAAUGCGUGGACAGGGGCCUGGAGCCCCAGAGGGAGCCCCAGCAUUUGAGGAGUGGGGGGAAGAAAAGCCCUAAACCACAGAGGAGGGUUGACCAGGAGGUCGGUGGGGAGGGUCUGUCCGGGGCCUCUCAGAUCCUGAUGAACUUCUUGACCCUCUGGGCCCCAGUUUCCUCUGCUGCUGCUGUUUCCCAGGGCCGACAGUCUUGCGGGAGGAUGAAGAAGAUGAACAAACCACACAAACGUAAUGUGAUGUUGGGUUGAUGUGGUGUUCAGGAAGUGGUGGAGGGACAACUUGCUACUUGAGUUAAGCCCCACCCUCUUCCUGCCCACUGGGAUGCUCUGAAGGGAACUGAGGCUGCUUUUAUACGGAAAGGGGAAGAACAGGAAGGCCCUCCCCACCAAACCUGGAAGAGGAGGACUGCAGAAGUGCCCGCGAGGCGAGCCAACAAGGAGGCAGUCUUGGACAGGCAGUCCCCCAGAUGGACCCUGAAGCCGAGGAGGCCAAGGGGCUGCUGCACCCAGAAUGGGGGUCCUGGUUCUGCCAAUGGGGUAGAGGAGCCUGGCGGAGGGAGCCAAGCCCCAUUUCCUGCCCCAGUUCCACCUCUUUGUUUUCUUUCCCUCCUCUUCCCCCCCACCACACUCGCAAUAAAAACAUAA